GAAUGUGGCUGCAACACUUUCACCUUCAUUUCCUCAUACGAGGGCACGCAGCAACGUGACCGACAUUCAUCCAGUGAAUGUGUCUGCAUCACCUUUACCUGCUACUCACACAUGCCAUAGGUCUCUUUCAGUUCUCAAAGGAACUGAGACUAAUGUAUUUAACACUGACAGUGAUAAUGCACCUGUUGCAAAGAGACUCAAGACCAACAUCCAGGCAAGCAGCAGGCAGUCCGUUCUGUCAUGGAAAACAGAGAC